UACGUAGGGGGCCAGCGUUGCUCGGAAUUACUGGGCGUAAAGGGUUCGUAGGCGGUUUGGCAAGUCGGAAGUGAAAUCUCCAGGCUUAACUUGGAGGCUGCUUCCGAAACUGCCGUGCUAGAGUGCGGGAGAGGCCAGUGGAAUUGCAGGUGUAGCGGUGAAAUGCGUAGAUAUCUGGAGGAACACCCGUGGCGAAAGCGGCGCGCUGGACAACUACUGACGCUGAGGAACGAAAGCUAGGGGAGCAAACAGG
rnacentral:rRNA from 1 species